rnacentral:lncRNA from 1 species
UGGGUAUAAAUGUCCCUCCGACCUGAGACCACCACGGUGACUUGCAAGCAACUCACUGCACUUAAGUACUGGACUACUUGAAUUUCUAAUUCAGUGACGGAAGGCUGCUGGGUAUAGUCAAGUACUUGACUUGUCGGUGCAUGUGUCAAGAUGGGAUUGACCACUCUAGUUUAGGAGCUGUGUACAGUCAUGUUUUAAUUUAGCAAAACUUUGACCAGGGUAGUCUUUGUGAGGAGUCACAGGACUGUUUGAGUUGAGCAUG